rfam:Dipodomys ordii contig_49072, whole genome shotgun sequence.
GGUGGCUCAGUGGUAGAGCACUCGCCUUGUAUGCAUGAGGCCCUGGGUUCAAUUCCUCAGCACCA